CCUGCCUCCUCCGGCGGUAGUGCCGCCGAGCCGGGCAGUGCGCACGGACGCGGACACAGACACGCACGGGAGGUGGAGGAGGAGGAGGGAAGAGGAGGAGGGACCGGAGCGCUCCCAGCACCAUCACCGAUCCCCCCAUGCGAUACGGGCGGCAUCGCGCUGCGCCGCUCCCCCGCGGACAGGCACCUGCAGCAAAAGGCAGCGGCUGCCAUCAUGCGUUCACUUGACAGGGCCUUCAGCCACUCUAGGAAUGCUGGAGUGAAUGGGACUGAAUUGGUGGAACACUUUUAUUUUUUAAAGCAUGAUUUAAGGAGGUCCAGCUAGUGGUUUUUUUAUUCUGCAAAUGACAAGCAUGAGACUGGAGGAGCACCAGUGUAAGUGCUGGGACCCUGUCAUCUAAACUGUGUCUCCAGCUGACUUCUAGCCAGCCAAGCUUUACCGAUCCUGCACCAUGGAGGACUGCCUUCACACCUCUUCUGAAAACCUCUCCAAGCUGGUGAGCUGGGCCCACAGCCACGGGACCAUCUGCAGCCUCAUCCCCAACCUCAAGCACCUGCUGUCCGAGGGAGCCCACGGCAACCUGACCGCCAUGUGGGGCUGCAGUGCUGGCCAUGCCUACCACUGGCCCCUGGCUGCCACUUGCCGGGCUGGCUCUCAGGAACGCGUCUGCUUCCAGGACAGCCGCAGCUUCAACUCAGACAGUCCCAGUAUGUUGGGAGUGCCCUCUGAGACACAGGCCAGCCCACUUGAGCGUUACCCAGGCCGGCCAGGGAAGGCCAAGCUGGACUGCACCCGCACCCGUGACUCCUGUGAUUUCUCCUACUGCAGUGAGCCCUCAGAGCUGGGCGAGCCGGUGGAGGAGUACGAAGACGAGGCCACUCUCUUCGACAUGGUCUGCGAGUCCUCCGUCACAGAUGAGGACAGUGACUUUGAGCCACACCUCCACCGUGUGCCCGGCGGCCCUCGGAAGCGGCCACCCGCUGGGCUCCCUGCUGCUGCCCAGGCCCAGCCAGCCGACGAGGGCAGCGGCGAGGUUCUGCUCAAGAAGAUCAAGCAGGAGCUGCCUGAGGAUUACUACAUUGUGGCCAAUGCUGAGCUGACGGCUGGUGCCGAUGGGCCGGCCCUGGCCCUCACUCAGAUGUCCAAGCCCAAAGCACCAGUGCAGGCUGGGCCCUCUGGCCUGGGCCCCACCAGGGCUCUACCCCUUCCUGCUGGGCCCGACCCUGACCCGCAACACCUCUGUGCCUCCCCACCCGGCCCACCCCGGCUCCCUGUGCAGAGACCUCCCCGAGCUGCCCUGGUUUCCCCAGCCCGUGGGGCAAGCGGCGGCCCCCCAGCCGCCCUGCAGGCACCAGCCACUAGCUCCAAUGCCGCUGCCGUGGGGAAGGCCAUCAGCAUCCCGCUAUCAGCCCUGCAGCUGCCUGGGCAGGAGGAGGCCCCAGCCGCAGAAGAGACCCUGCUGCCUGCCCCGCAGCCAGCCCCAGGGGGCGGUGAGGCAGCUGUGUCACCUUCUGUGAGCGCAGAGCCCGAGGUCAGCUCCAGCCAGCAGCAGCCCCCUGCUGCCCCUGCUGCCACCCCUGAAGCUGCAGUCCCGUCGAUGCCAGACCAGGAUGAGAGAGCAGCAGAGCUCAGCAGGGAGCAGAACGAGAAGACCAUUCGCAGCACACAGACAGCUCUCCGCAAUUUCCGCGAGUUCCUCAUCUCCAAGUAUCCCUCUGAGACCCGAGAGAUCUACGUCAUCCCCUGCAAAGAGCUCGAUGCGUACCUUGCUUCGUUCUUUGUGGAUGCCAGGCAGAAGGAUGGGUCUGAAUACGAGCCAAACAGCCUGGCCAACUAUCAGUGUGGGCUGGAGCGUUAUCUGAAGGAGCACAGGUAUGGAUACAGUAUUACCAGGGAUAAGGAGUUCAAGAGGUCCCAAGAAGCCCUAAAACAGAAGCAGAUAGAACUGAGAUGUAAAGGUAAAGGGAACAAGCCACACAAGUCCAUGAAGCUCACCUUUGCUGACGAGCUUAUCCUGCGCAAAAGAGGCUUGCUAAGCCGGUACAAUCCUGAAGGGCUCUUGAACCUUGUCUGGCUGAACAACACUAAGGCAUUUGGACACUGCACAGGUUUUCAUGGGUCCACCCUCAAAUGGGGAGACAUCCGGCUGCGGGUGACAGAGACAGGGUUGGAGUACCUGGAGUGGAUGGGACCAGACAGUGGAGAUAUCAAUGCCAAGAGCAAGAGAGGUGGGACAGACUCUCGGGUGUAUGCCACCCAGCACUCCCCACAGACCUGUCCUGUGCAAGACUACAAGGAGUACGCCCAGAGGCGGCCUCCAGCCAUGCGCUAUGAGGAUGCACCUUUUUACCUGUCAAUCAAACCCGUUGUCAACUUGGCUGCCCUUCACUGGUACAAUUGCCAAGCUCUGGGGAAAAAUAAGCUUGCCAAGAUGGUAAAGACAAUGUGCGAGAAGGGCAACAUCCCUGGCAGGAAGACCAACUUCAGUGUCUACCAGAGCUGUAGCACAUUGUCAGAAGCUCAGAGCAACCAGCUUGUGCUGAUCUGCAAUAACUUGAGCCAGCAGGCUGCCCAGUCCAUGGCAAGCCAUACCAAUACUGGCAACUUCAUAGUGUCAGCAUCCUAUGACUCUUCCUCUGACACAGCUUGAAAAAGGGGUAUAGCUUGGACAGAUUUUUCUCUUCUGUUUUGUUUUAAGCAUUGAAUUUGUGCCCAAUAAUACACAUCAACUGUGAUUGUACACUACUCUCCCAUAGCCCUCUCUCCAGUGUUAAUUCACUUUAUAAAAAAAUAUAAAUAUAUAAUAUAUUUUUCUUUUUACAGGUAAGUCAAUAGAGAUAGUUUAGUAAUACUAACAUAGUAUUUAUAGUGUUAAUACAAAAAUGAAUGUUACUUGUGGGUUAUAAUAUAAUUGCAGAUUUUAAAAGGACAAAAAUGGUUCUCAGGCAACACAAGAUAGACUGGAAAUACCCUUUUUAACAUGCACACAUCAGUGACUGUAAUUCCCCAGGGAGACUUACGUAGCAAUUCUAUUUUAAAGCAUUUUUUUGACUUCUUAUGUUAACAUGGCCUCCUAGAGUGGAGGAGGCAAAUCUACCACUGGCUGCUGCUUCUUACCUGCUGGCUUGUUCUUGAUCAGAAAUACAAGGAGAUAAGAGAUACAUCAAUAAUAUCACUGGUCUUUAGACUGAAAAGUAUUGUUAUCAACGGUAAGCAAAGGUAUGUUGGCAAAAACAGUCGUGUACAUAAUUUUAACUAAGCACUGAUCAUUAAUGUUUUGUCGCUGUGUAUUCUUAAUGUAAAAUCUACUGACUUUUAUCCACUCUUUCACUACUCUUGGGGAUGUAGGUGUGCAGAAAAAUUCAUUAUCUUAUCCCAAACCAUUCAGAUAAAAUGCAUCAAAUCUGUCCUAAGCCAUUAUUCAAACUCCACAAGAAAUAACAUAGGGAUAGUUUCAUAUUUUCUACAGAAGAUUAAAAAGAUGAGUAGUUUUAAGCACUGGAAAACAAAUCAAAAUCACCUAUGUGUAAUCUGUUUUCAUUGCAGACAAUGGAAAUUGUGUAUGUGAUUCUUAGGGAAGAAUUUGGUCCUUUAAAUACUCGAAAUAAUGAAUGCUGUUGUUCCCGUAUUUGAUUUUGUAGCAUAGUUGUUCUAUGAGUACAGGGAAAACACUAACAAAUUAAGUGUGUCAGUGAACCAUUACAAUUCUUGACUUUUAAAAUGAUGUAUGGUACCUCUGCAGUAAUUCAGCUUAGCUUAUUCAGCGUUACAGAUGGAAAUGUUCCACUAGCAUACCUUAGCGACUUGGUAAGUCUAUAGACAAGUCCCUGACGUGGCAUGGUGUCCUCCAGAGUCCAUGAAAGAUUCAGCCUCAGCUCACAUCCCAUCAGACUGUUACUGAGGACUUUUCUUUUUGCUUUUGUCCUUCUCUAAACUUCAUUGGUUUUAUUUCUUUACAUUCUUUCCUUUCUUUUAUGUAGUUUAAAUCUGCAACUGUGCAGUAAACUCAGUCAUCACUAAUUAAAAAAAAAAAAAAGUGCAACAGUAGCAGAAAGAAAUAAAUUAUCCCACCUGGGGCCAUUUAAAAGUUAUUUUUGGUGUUGCUGGGAUGAGGUGUGUAUUCCUGUGUAUGAAGGAAGUGGCAGAACACCUGUGUCUCACUUAAUCCUGGAGGUCUGUUUUGGACAGGGAGUGAUUAGCAGAUGUCCUACAAAAGGUUUGGGAGCAGAGAUUUCCUCUUUAAUGAACAUCUGUCCUCCCAGGAAGCGUUGUGCAGGUGACAGCGCCUGAAUGAUCACUCAUUGUUCUGCACAGCAGAGCUACUAUAAUGCCUUGGUGCUCUGUGUGCUGGCUGCCCUAGGGUCUGGCACGCCAAGGCAGGGUAAUCUUAUCUGCAACCCCUGAGAUGGGAUUAUUAAUGCUGCAAGGUAGGCAUUGGUGUGACAGGCACUCACAUUGCAAAGCAAUGAUGUGCUUUUGUGGCUUGGUUCUGAGGCUUGAGACAAAGUGUUGGCACUUCUGAAGUAACUGCAAGUGCCUGUGACUGCCUUGCCAUGGCAAAUCUGGUAAAGAUGAAGGAGAGGGAAACACAGACAUCUGCUGCUUUGCUUCCACAUGAGGCCAACCAGUUGUCUUUUCAUAGCAAUGCUCUACAUGUGAUACAAGUGAAAAUAAUUUUGCAAGGCUGAUGUUGCUCUCUGUAGGAUUUCAUUGCUGUUUGCUGCUGAGUACUCAAGUCACUGAUCUCUGUAUGCAGUGAGUGCUAGGGUGUCAUGCUAGAGAGCUCAUUCAUGAUGUUCUGUAGAGCUCCACAAGGGAGCUGCUAGGAAGGGUUUUGCUCUCAACUUCCCCCUGUGCUCACCUCUUAACUAUUGCAGAACCUGACCCAUCUUCCUUUCCUCUCCCAGAGUACAAAGCCAGGUACCUGAUGGCCUUUGUGGAACAGCACAUUUCCCUCUUUGCUGGGAAGACUUGCCUUGAGGUUGUACAGAAAAGUAACUACCCCAUGAUGUGGCUGUCUGUUGUUUCUUCUCAGACCCCAUAAAACAUGAAACCAAAUUCAGUAGUAAUAAACAAUUUCUCUGUUUAGGGUUUAUUGCUUCACAGUGGGCUGUUUUGUGUGGACUAAUAACUGUGGUAAUCCCACACAUUUUGGACUAGAUGAUCUUAUAGGUCAUUUCCAACCUUGUUAUUCUAUGAUUCUGUGAUUUUCUUGUCUUUGAGAAGGCAGAUCACUGUCUGCAGAUGUGCAGUGCUGCAUAUGGUCUGCAAUGUUCUGAUUCACAUCUACACUGUAAUUCAGCCCCAGCACAGAUCUUGAUCUUGUCUCCAGCUCCUCUGUCCAUAUAUAGAAUUGCUGUCUUCAGUUUUAGGGUGGUUUGUAUCUUGCUGUGCCCAGGCAAUGUCUCUGAUAAUGUUGCAUGUCAGGAACUAUUGCAUGUCUGGUUAGGAGGUAAGGUGUGAAUUAUGUGUUCUCAUUGCAGGAGCCUCAGCAUUACAGGGCCGUGUUUUCUCUGCUCUGUGGCAUCUGCAGUAACUCCAGCCCCCAGUGAUGCUGAUGGCGGAUUGCCUGGCAAAUUCUGAUCAGGCAUCCCCAAAUAGACUACUUGUAGAAGCAGUUAAGCACAUGUGGCCAAAAUAUGAUACUGAAGGAGUAUCAUACUCCAAAAAUAGGUAUGUUAUCUUUGAAUGGCAUUUAGCACCACAUACUACCCAGUCUUCAUUUGCAAACAGUCGCAAGGAAUUGAGUGAUGACAGCCUAAUUAAUUAUGAUCUGUAUUAAGCUAUUGAGAGUGUCAUUAACCCACUGGGAGGGAGACUUCUGAUUUAAAACACUGGUCAUGGUUUUGUUUCUGCUUGGCAGGAGUGUAGUGUCCCAGCUGCCAUGUUGUUGCUGACAGAUGGCAACCCAUUUGCUUGCUAUCGUCUCCCAGUGCUUUGAGGGUGUCAGAACCUGCUCACCAGUAAGUCUCAUGCUUACCAUCAUGGUGUGGAUCUGCCCCAGUAAAAAGCCAUGGGGAGAUGGUCAGGGAGUAGUGCUGCACUCUUAAAAUCAUAGAGUCAUAGAAUAGCUUGACUUGGAAGAAGCCUUACAGAUAAUCUCAUCCAGUGCUCUUUCUUUGAGCACGGUUGAUGACUGCUAGAUCAGGCUGCCCCAGUUCCCAGCCAACCUGGCUAACCACAGCUUCUCUGGGUAACUGUGCCAGGGCUUCACUGCCUUUUGAGUAAAGAAUUCUUCCUAAUAUCUGAUCUGCAAGCCUUCAUCUCUGCCUAGGGCCUGGUGUGUCCUACCAUAACUCUUGAUACUUCACUACUUCUUACCAUGGAAUCAAGAGGCCAGCUCCCAGAUCACCAUUCAGCUCCUAUACAGCAUAGCCCAGGUGUGGUGGCUGAGUGGGUCACUUGCAGAGAUCCCCUGACAGAUGACAGUGCUUCUUUCUUCUCUCUUUUUCCUUUCCUGUUUUCCUGACUUUCAGCUUUCUCUGAUCUGGUAUUGGACCUCAUCAAUCAGCUCACUAGCCCAGCAUAAAACAUAGCACAGAGGGGGAAAUUGAGAUAGUUCUCUGCCAGAUUACUGACUUGCUUCUGCUCAAAAAUUGAUUUACAGCUCCAGAGGGAGAGGCAGAGGAGGAUGUUCCCUGUCUAAAGGCUGCACUGCAGCUUUGGAAACCCAUCACAGCGAUAAUGCAGUGGGAGCACCUUCUGUGUAGUUUGCAGCUGUUGGUUGCCUUCUGAACUAUUACUUAUGCAUGUAUUUGUGGCACUGUAGGCUUGCACAGGGUGUUUCUAUUCAUAAUGGUAGUUGAAGCUGACAUUCUCAAUAUCUGGGUUUUGAAAACUGCCUGUUAAAUUUUCAAAUACAAAUUUAUGCAACAAAAUGUGUUUUUAAGUACAGUAAUUUUAGUAAUUUUAAGGAGAAUGAAAUACUGUUCUGAACUACCUUGUAGAUUGUGUUAACUAAGUUAUGAAGCAUAUCUAAAACAACAGUACAUACCUUAUUCAUUUACACAGUUCAGUCAUUUUGGGAUAGCAUCCACGCCGUUGGAGUAUAGGACAGUCUAACAAUGGAAGUAGUGGUGCACAUUCUCCUUUGUGAAGAAUAUCAAUGCUUUCAAGCUAUUUUCUAUUUUUAUUUUUAAAAGCUGCUCAUCACUAGUAUUCAAUCUACAGUGUAGUUGCCCACUUAUUUCUCUUAGAAAGGAGUGUAGAAAAUGAGAUUUGAGCAGCAACUUAUAUUGCUGUUUGUCCCUUCUUGCCUGUUUGUGACUGUCUUCCACGACAGGUUGUGCAAAUGAUGUGUGAUAUGAAGACAUGGAUCAGGAAGAAUUGGUGUUGAGUCAUGGCAGAGCCUGGGCUGCCCCAGUUCUUGGAGCAGCCCCAAGGGAACUGAGAUGCUAUAUAUUCUACAUUUCUUCCCUGCCCAGCUCAUGUUUACCCCUUUUUUGUCUCCCUGCCUGAGGACAUCCCAUAAGUGCAUUGACUGACAUUGACUGACGUGGUGUGUGGGCUGGUUAUUCCUCCCCACCACCAGCUGCAAGUGACUAUGGCUGACCAACUGGUCUUCCCCAUCAACAGCGUCCCUCUCUCCAUCCCUUUGUACCUCUAACAUUCCUUUCUCCUGGUGUUUGUCAUAGGGGAAGGGGACUGCUCUGUGGAGGGCAGCACAGAGUUCCCUCCCUGCUACCAAGUGCCCUUGUGCUUUGGGGAUAAUGUGCUCAGGGCAGGCUGCCUCGCUUCGAGUGCAUGUGGUCUGUGGGAUACAUGAUCACUCACAGGCUUGCAUCUCUUGUCUCCCAACACUCUCCCUUUCCCUUCUUCUCUGUUUUUUAUGGGAGUGCUUUCAAAUCAUAAAAGGAGAAUAGAACACAGUGAUGUGUUGAGGGCCAGUUUUGUGCCUUUGCCUGGCCUUCCAAUGAUGUCUUUAAACUGAGUAGAGAUGACUGAUCCUUCUCCACAGUACAUCCUGGACUGACACUAGAGUGGAAAUCAAUUUGUCUUAGGCAGAGUGGGCAACAGGAAAGCAGGACCUCCUUGAUGCCCUAUGGCCAUUUGAAUGUAUGGGAAGGAGGAAUGCUGACGGGACGCAGCGCUGAGGUUAGAUUUGCCUGAAAUGAGCCAAUGCAUGCUAGGUUAGCGGGGAUUCAGCUGUACACUACUAAGUGUGGCUGGCAGUGGAUCUGCACUUUUUAAUGAGGGUUCUUUGUUAAACAUUAGCGUUAACAAGAUGGUUGUCUUGCCUAAUGUGAGUUGCUGUCCUUGUUCUUAAAAUGGGGAUGUAUUUUCUUCUAUUUCUAUGCUUUCAUGUAAGUGCUGAAUCUGCACGCUCUGCUGAGGAAGAGUGUGAAAAGAAGGCAGUCCAGCAUAAAGCAUGGCUAUCUUCCUAGUGGGAGAACUGGGACUGCACUUUCUGGGGAUGGUCGCCAUGCACCGAGCCUGCUUUGUAGCCAGGAGCACUGGCACAUCAUCCGGUAUCUCCCACAUGUCUGAUGGCCCUAUGCAGGGUCAGCGUGGGUGUCACAGCACCUCUCUGAAAAAUCAGAGCCCUGGGCCAGCCAGGUAAGGCAACUGUGCUUCUGCAUGCUGAGCAGGGGAAGGCCGUAAGCACAAUUCAGCGAUGGUGCUGUCCCUGUGUGCAGGAUGGACACAUGCAGCUGGCACAUGGGGCUGUGAUGUAUCUCUGCGUAGGUUUUGGAAAGCUGAGCACCAGCAGGAAUGUGGAGGCUGGUUCUCCAUGAUGCUCUACUGGAAAACGUUAGCUGGCAACGGAGUGAUCCUUCAGAGGAAGGCAGGUUCCUCAAAGCCCCAAGAAAUGGUGUGGCUGCAUGGCUGCCAGCUCCACCAGUGAAACCGAGUUCUGGUUCCAUCCUGCCUCUGGGGCUCUGCUGAUGUUGUCUGCCAGCACCUCGACUCUUCCGAAUCCAGUGGAGAGGCACUGACUGCAGCGCAGCAUGGGAAAGCCCCACAGCUUGGAGAUGUCUGUGGGCUCAUUGAAAAGUCUGACAAUGGCCAUUCACUGGAGUAUAUUCAAAGCAAUGGGGAUGUCUAAAGCUUUAACUCCUGAUCUGACGGGGAAAAAAUCAGUUUGGCACAAAAUUUACUUGUUCCAUGAACUGGUGGGUUUUAACAGUCUCUAGAGUUUAUGUCUCAAGUCAGAAAUUUAUUUUCUCUGUUUUCUCACUUUGUUUAAUGUUGGUUGGUAAUAUGAACAAAAUUUGUUUUUGUUUUUGUUUUUUUAAAUACAAAUGCCAUUAAAUGUCUGUGCAUUGGAAAUGGACCUACUGUUUCCAGGGGAUUGAGACACUUCUACCUUCUCUUUUAUUCUGGUGCUCAGUACUCACUACAUAGUAGCCACUGGUCUCUGAAAAAAAUUAGUACUCUUUCAGAUUUAUUUGAUCUGUUGUAGUUAAUAGAAGAUUUAUUCACAGUGUUUGGGAUUUUGUAUGGUAGAUGCUAACUCUGAUGCUAACUUUUACGCUACAUGUGGGAAUUUUGGCUAGCUCUGUUCUGUACAGUCCAUAAGCAUCAUGCAAAUUGUGAAAUUGCCAAGCAAGGGGAAAAGAAUCAAGAAAAUAUAAAAUGUUCUUUAAAAUACUGUAUUAUUCUUACUCUAGAAAAAAUAAACUCUUAACAUUAAUUUUAAUGACACUAUCUUCACCAUUUCAGCUGUUCUUUUUGUGAACAGAGAAAACUCUGCAAUAUUCCUCAGGCUUAGAAUUUGAUCUGCUUUGUAAAGGCUUGUGAUCCUGCUGAGAUUGUCUUCUGCAUCAUUAUAAUGUGUUCUCAGCUGGCCUGAAUCACACGCAGCCUUAAGUAGUGCCACAUUGCUCCUGCCAGUAUUCCUCCUUCCCUUCUGCUACGUUGCAUCCAGGCUGGGCUGCUCUGCACAAGGCUGGGUGUCAAAUGCAGAGCAGAAACACCUGGAGCACUCAAGACUUACAGGCAAAUUGUGACAUAGAAUGUGUUACAAGAGUCUGCAAGCUGGCACGGGGAGAAGUAGAUGGCAGUGCCCACAAGCCCAAGUGCUGCUGGUGGGCAGAGCUCGGUGAGGAACGCACCCCUGGGCUUCAUGUUUCUACCCACCUUGUUGUCACAGAUGGGUCUGAAACCUGAAGGAGAGGACAUCAUCCAGCCACUGCUUUGUUGUCUGGACUUGUCUGUGCCUGCAUGACCCACAUACCUCUGGGUCAUCUUGAGACCUAUUAGGCAGACAAAGUUAUUCAAGACAUAAAACAAAGAAAUGGCAAAAUGUCUGAGUAUAGUGAAGGCAGUGGAAAGGCAGUGGAAAAGCCUGGCAAAUGCAAUAAAAGUUGUUGUGGUUUUUUUUUUUCCCUAAAGAAGGCAAGCAUAAUCCUCGUCUUUAAGCUAUCCUUUAAUAUCCUACUUUGUUUUACACUGGAAUUAGAAAAUCUUUUCCAUUUGUUUUAAUUAUCUGCUGACUUUAAUUCUGCCUUUGAAAAAUGUUUUUGCUAUGACAACCCCAGCUAUGGUGAGUAGCAUUAGGGAAAAACAGUUAAAGUAAAGCUUUUAUCUUUCCCUACAUGCAAUAUUUAAUCAUUCUAAUCUUUUAAUAUGAAUGUGGUUUCUCCCAUUCUGAAAAUUGACAAGAUUAGGGCUGCCUCUCCCAAAAUAGCACUUCAAAAGCACGUUUUGCUUAGGCAUAGCUAGUGCAGUACAUAACCAGCUAGCAAAGCAUGAGAAUUCCUGUAAGUGACCAAUUGAUUCUCAGAGUUAAACCUGUGUCUGAGGCUUUCACGUGCCAACCUUUCUAACUCUGCCUAAACUCAACUUUUUUAAGAACAGUUUGUAAAAAAAGUACAUUCUUUUGUUUUAUAUAAAAAGGGUGUUAAAAGAUUCACUGUUCUGCCAAACAAUAAUAUUUCUAUGCACUGUGUCAUUCGGUGGUGUUGCUGUUGAAAUUUUGCAUGUUUUCUGGACGUUCUGACAUCCGUAUGUUUAUGUGGUACUUGUAGAAAUGCUAACCAUUGCUGCUGUGAUCAGAGCCACUGAAAAACUGAGAGCUGUAUGAGAAGCCCUGCCAGUCAGCAGGUAUUUCUGUGUGUCACAGUAAAUCUCUGCGUUCUGACGUUGUUUCCUGUGUUAAGCCAAUGUUCAGUGCCUUCUGGAGAAGGAACCAACAUGUUGCAGUAGGCAGGAGGUGCUGAACGUUUCAUGUCUUCUUCUGAACAGUUGACCACUUAUCAGCUUGAUCCUUAAAGAGCAAACAAAAAAAAAAGUAUUAAAGAAAAUCUUGAAUUCUCCAUCUUUCUUUGAGGUGUCUUCUCAUCAAUUUUGAUUUGGAAUAAAAAAAUUAAGAUGCCCAACCAACUGCCUUGAUGAAGCUAAAGGCUCCCACAGCCGUAUGCCAGCUGUGAACGUGAGGGGUAAGACAUUCCUGUGGAUAGCUGAUCCAGUGAUCAGCCAAGCCUGUGAGAGCUGUUGUGGAGUUUGCUAAAAAUGCCUACUAAUGAAAGCAGUCCUCUGAUUACUGUAAGAAACUGCCAGCUCUCCUAGCAGCUUUGAGCCUGCUCCUGUAAACAAGUGUCAGCCUGGUCAAGUGGUGGAUUCCAGUCACUUUCCCACCUCCGCUGAAGCCAUACUUUGCUGCCAAAUGAGCCUUGGAUGAAAUUCAAGCCUGAGAUUUUUGGUCUUGUUCUUUCCAAUUGCUUUCAUGGCAGGCAGGCCCUGUUUAUCAAAAUUCUGACACCGCAUUUUCAGCUCCUUUUCCACCUUCCCCUUAGAAUCUGGCAGUAUAGCAGAUACACACAUACCCAGAAUUAAUUUUGACUUAGCUAGGAUUUUGACAGGCUGAAAUCAUACCAUAUUGUAUUUGUACAACAGAAACAAGCUGUGGGUAAAAGCGUGAUCUGUCACAGAUCCCUGCCACCAGGCACAGUCAGCUGCACCUGGUCUGCUCUGAAAGUACCAUCUUAUGCGCAAACAAUGAAGGGCUAUAGCCAUUGUUUCAUGAUCUCUGCUGACAGGUGAAAGUCUGCUAAACAUCCUGAAAAGGUUUUCAAAUCAGAAUACCAAAACAAACAAACAAACAAAAAACCUGUGUGACUGGGACAAUAACAGAGAAUUGAAUUCAUUCCUGCUGCUCUGAAGCCAUCUCUGCACCUCUGUACAAGGCAGUUUGUAGCCCUUGGUGUGCAAAGGGCUUCUCCCAAAAUAGUUUGCAUCACGAUCUUCAAAAUUGCCAUUCCUUUUUGUCACACCUGGAACAUUUACAAAAAGCAGUAUUGCAAGGUGCAGGCUGGACCACCCUGGAAGUCUGUCCAUGUAGUAGUCCUCUCCCACAGACCAAUGGAUUCAAGGUGCAGUCUUGCCUCAAAUACUGUGUUCAUUUCUGGGCUCUACAAUAAAGAAAUUGUUAAGGUCCAUGAAACAAUCUGAAAGACAGCAAAAAAAAAGCUAGAAGGCAGAAAAAAAGGUAGAAGGUUUGGUAGAAGGCAUGUGAGGCACCGUGUGAGGAGAGGUGGGCAGACCUGGGUUAUCGUGUGUGGAGGUGGCAGAAAAGUGGUCACUGCUCUGCAGCUCCCUGAGGGGAAGCAAAGGGACAUGCUGGGCUGAGCCCCCUGGUGGGACAGAACGCAAAGGAGUGGCACAUAGCUGCACCUGGGGAGGAUGAGACCGGGCAUCAGGAAGCAUUCCUUCACCAUGAGGGCAGUCAAACUGUGGAACAGGCUUCCUAGAGGUGACACAGCUGUCAGUGGCCAAGGGGAGUUUGGGCAGUGUGCUCAGUGACUGCUGUGACUGUUGACUAGCAAUUGAUGUUGAGUGAAGGCCCCUUCCCACUGAGUUGUUCUAAACAUUCCUAGAACAUUUCUGAAACCUCAACUGUCCAAAAGUGAUAAGGGUGCUUGAGGCCUUUUGCAGAAUUUCAGUUCCCAUCUUGUGGAUGGAAUAAGGCUGUCCUCAGAAAUAAAGGGCCGUUUUAUUGCUCUAAAAUCCAAUGGCUUCUUCGUAGAAUUAUAGAAUCAUAGAAUCGCUCAGGUUGGAGAAGACCUUAAAGAACAUGAAGUCCAUCUGCAACAUAACCAUACUACCCUAACUCUAGCAACCCUCCUCUAAACCAUAUUCAGCUGCUUUCUGAUGCCAGCUGAGACCAGCUGCAAUGAGUUUCUUUUUGGUCUCUAGUGGCUAUGUACACAUGAACACAUCUCCGCCAGUGCAGUGAGGAGUUUCUGCUCCACAGAACUCCUGCCUGCCUAGGCCUGAUAUUAGGUAUGCAAGGCAGUGGCAGAGAGUCUAAUUCCUUGCAUUUUUUGUCUUUUUAGCUAGGUCUUAGUCUUCCAGUCCAACUAAUUGCAGAAAUUGACUUAGCAAUUGCAACCUAUUGUAGGGAACCUGCUUUGGAGUGAAGGAUCUCCAUAAGUCCCUUCCAACCCCUAUAAUCCUGUGAUUCUGUGAUCCUGUAAUUGGUAAUUGGUCCUUAGAGCUCCUUCCCACACACUGACCCAACCUGCCAAAAGGUGUGUCAGGUUCUUGCAGAACUACAGUUGUAUAUUCCCAUCUUCACUUUGACUGCAGAUGCAUCUACAUUGCCUUCAGCUUAGAUUUGAAUCAGAAAAGCAAACAGCACCGUUUAGUUAGCUCUUUGCAUGCUAGAAAUCCAGUUGUUUUACAGAUGCAGACGUGGCGUUAGGUUUCAGCCUGCUGCCUGCAGUGUGUGAGAAGUUUUCCUGGCGUUUGUUCAUUUUUCACCACAGCUCUCUGGUUUCAAGAAGCAAAUGGGCUGAUGUUAAUGCUGUAGUGGAUUUGAUGCCACCGCCCCAUCAGUGUGAUGCCUUCUGUGUACAUGUUGUAAGCUCCUGUAAUUGUGUUUUGACCUAAGUGCACUGUGGUGCAGGAAAAGCUUUUUGAUUUUUAUUAUUAUUAUUAUUAAAUAAUAAAAUAAAACCCUAUUGCAUUUCUGUCUGUGCUGCUGAAAGGAGACAAGAGAGAAUUUAUCCAUCCACAUCCCACUGGAAUUUCGAGGCUAACUUAGGUUUCUUUGGACCCCUUUGCAAGCCCCAGUUGUAAUCCACUAUAUUAGGCAGAGACGUUAACAUGAGCAGUGAUACCUUUCUAACACUAAAAAUGCAGUUUUUCUGUGGGACCUUCUCACACUGACAUCUUGCCUCUGCAUUUCGGAAUUUAUAUGUUUGUACAUUUGUUAGGGAGAAGGAAGAUUUUAGUAUAUUUUAAUUAAUUAGGCUUUGCAAAUCCAGGAUAUCUGACAGAGAGAGAGAGAAGGUUUACUGGAUUUUUUUUCUGAAGACAUCAGGAAAAUUGUCAACCCUCAGAGCUACCUGUUCAACUUCAGACCUGGUUCAUUCUGGAUCUGAAAAAGAACAAGAGACCUGGAAAAAUAAAUAAAUGAAGAAAAAGUCUUCACUGGUAAAUGAGGAAAGAUUCCACAGCCUUCUUCAGCGCCGGGUCCCCAGCUGGGUUCCCAGGUCUGCCAACCCUUUUGCUUGAUGGCUGGAUAGGUUUUAACUCAUGUGGAUGCCAUGUUGCUCUUUCUGCAGCAGAUUUCUAAGAAGCAAACUUCACAUUGGUUAAGAUCCUUGAGAACAGCAUCAUCAUCUGUGU